rnacentral:rRNA from 1 species
AAACUACUAACAUCCGUUCGAAUCGGAUAUUCUCUGAAUAAUAUAUACGGGCCAGGGCCGGGUUGGUUAGGCACCUCAUUUGGGUUGAGGAGUAGUUAUGUUCGAAUCAUAAUGACCCGAAAUUAGGAAAUACACUUUGUAAAUUACAAUAGUAAUGUAUUAGAUAUGUAAUGUAAAAUUUCAUCAUAAGCUAUUUGUUUAUGAUGGCAAGUAUAUAAAGAAACUAUUAGGAAUAUCUAGCUAUAUAUCAAAAAGAGUUUUUUAAAUAGUACAACGAUUAAGAGUCGAUGAACUUGAACUUUUGGAAAAAUCCUAUAAAUAAACGAAGUGAAUUGAAAUAUCUUACUAGCUUCAGGAAUAGAAAUCAAACGAGAUUCUAUGAUUAGUGUGAAUGAAAGUAGAAAAGCCUAAAAGUAAAAUGGAUUAAAAUCUGUUUGAAUAAAGGGGAACCUUCCUCUAAGGCUAAAUAUGAUAUAUAAGCGACAGUGAACUAGUACCGAGAGGGAAAGAUUUGAAAUAGUAGUUUUAUAAGCAGCUCAAGUAAAGUUUAAAUAACAAAUGAGAGCGUACCUUUUGCAUAAUGGGUCAGCAAGUUAAUAUUAGAUGCGAGAAAAGCAAUUUUUCAUCGAACACGAUGCAAAAUAUAAGUCUUAUUCCUAGAUAAACCGAUUAUUAAAUAAUGAAUUAGUAUCUAAAAUUAGACCCGAAGCCUGGUGAUCUUACCAUGAUCAGGGUUAUAAAAGCCCGAACGGGUUAUCGUUGUAAAGAUAUCCGAAGAAUUGUGGUAAGUUAGUGAAAGACAAUACUGACCAGGAUAGCUGGUUUUCCGCGAAACCUAUAUAAGUAGGUAAUUCAAAUAACAUCAUAGCAGGUACAGAAUUGUGAUCUCAGACAAAUAGUAUUUAAAAAAUGCAUUUGUAUAUAUCGGGGGGUCGUGAAGACUUUAUCGGUGAGAAUUUGCUCUCGGAAGGGCAAUGAUGAAUAUUGAAUAAUCGGACAUAGUACGAUAAGGUUGUAUGUCCAAAGGGAAACAGCCCAGAACAAGAGUUUAAGGUUCCAAAAUUAUUGUUAAGUGAAAUUAAGGAAGUUUUUUUCAAAUACAACCAGGAAAUAGGCUUAGAAGCGGCCAUUUUUUAAAGACCUCGUAACAGAGCACUGGUUCAAUUAAUAAGUUAAAAGCACCGAAAAUUUAACGGAUCUAAACAAUAUACCGACACCUUGUCCAUAAGUAUUAAUAAAAUUAUAAUUGUAUUUAUGGGGUAGCGGAACGUUGGGCAAAUCAAAGAUGUAAUCUUUUUAAGAUUAUAUAAUUAUGGAUAACCUUAAUAUUUAUCGACCUGCGGCCGGAAACGGCCGAAGGAAGAAGGUAUUAAGUUACGUCCAUCGACCUUAGGUAGAACUUCUACCUUUGGCAGAUGAUAACCCAAGUGAGAAUGCUGACAUAAGUAACGAAAAAGGGAUUUAUUACCCCCUCGCCUUAAGCUUAUGGUAUUUAUAUAAAGUAACGGCCUCUAAGUUUAUAGACCUGCCCUAAAGGACUAAACGAUGAGAAAAGCUUUUAUGCAGAAUUAACCUAAUUGAGUAAAUUGGGUUCUGGAAAAAUCUGCAAAUUAUCGAAACCGUACCUAGAUACUACCCCUGUCCAAGUAAGCUAGUAGAGUAUACGAAGGCGUUUGAGCUAACAAUCAUUAAGGAACUCGGCAAAAUGACACCGUAACUUCGGGAUAAGGUGUGCCAUUCUUCCAUCGCCCGGCUCCCGGCCGAUGGUUAAGAAUAGGAGGCAUAGAAUGGUGUUGUACGACUGUUUAAUUAAAACAAAGCACUUUGCGUAAGAUGACAAAUCAAAGUAUUGAGUGUGAAUUCUGCCCAAUGUUGGCUGGUUAACGGAUUUACUUAGCUGACUAAAAUAAGCUAGGUUUUGAAGGAACCCCCAAUCAAUGGCGGCCUUACCGAUGAGGGUCCUAAGGUAGCGGAAUACCUUGGCCGUUAAAUGCGGUCUUGCAUGAAUGAUUUAACGAUACAACAGCUGUCUCAAUGAUUGGCUCAGUGAAAUUGGAAUAACUGUGCAGAUACAGUUUACCUCUAGUUAGACGAGAAGACCCUAUGCAGCUUUACUGUUGCUAGUUAUUGGAUAUGAUCAAACGAGUUGUAGUGUAUAAGGUAGUUGGCGAGAUACAAUUGAAACACCUUUACUUAGUUUAUCAUAUCAGUAGAAUACCGCGAAAGCUAUACAAACUACUUCGACCAAGUAAAAUUGGUCGAUGGAAGAGUAAAGUAAGUAGGUAAAAUCUACAUUACUUAUCCAAAAAGGAAGAGGGGUUAAAUGGUUUUUACCAUUUAACCCGGGAAACAGUUGCUAGUAGACGGUUUAUGCGGGGCACAGAUCCCAUAAAAAGUACCUGGGUGUAUCCAAAGUUAAUUUUGUAAAUUUACUCGGUUUCGCAAAGAAAAUAAAUUUUCUCUGCGUUACCGAGUAAUUAAACAUGUAUAGGCUAGAAUUAUUUUUAAUUCUUUUCUAGCGUGUUUUUUUAUUUUACUUUGUUAUAUUUUAUCACUAAAGAUAAUUUAUUCAGUUAUAUAUCUAUUAAGUUAGAUUUAUUAUAUUUAUUUUAAGUAAGAUUUUAACUAUAUGGAAAAUAGAUGUAAAUAAAACAUUAAUUAGUUAAAAGUUAGUAAUGUUUUAAGUUAUUUUAUUAUUACACAAUAAUAAGAUGAUUUUUAUGUUUACUUAUAAAGUUUAAUGGCU